rnacentral:sRNA from 1 species
GGCUACAUACUCACAGAGAUCAACCUACUGAGGUUAAAAGUGAGCACCAAGGGAUUUGGGGAUUUAGCUCAGUGGUAGAGCGCUUGCCUAGCAAAUGCAAGGCCCUGGGUUCAGUCCCCAGCUCCGAAAAAAAAAGAAAAAAAAAUGAAAAGUGAACAGAGAUUAUAUCCCAUUUACCUGUCCCCCGACCAAAAUGAACAGUGACUUUUCCAUAGUCAUUAUCUCAGUGUUAACAGAUAAUUGCUUCAAGAAAUCAAUCCUUUGCUUCAGACAUUAGGCUUCCUGACUAUUAAAUCAGAGGCAAUCAAUUUGAAAAAAAGAUUUUUGCUUAUGUCCUUUUCUGUAUCAAGAAUCCCUUUUCCCACUCCUUUUGCAGAUACUCAAAUUCUGCCCAGCAUUCAGUUCAAGCCCAAGCUGUCUUUGCAUCAGAAAACCACUAAUCCCUGAUUUUUUCCCACAUUACUUAUGUCAGAGAGUUGCCCCUUCACACACACACACAGUGGAAAAGCCUCAGAUCUGAGAAUGACACACUUCCUGCCACAUACCACUGUGAAAAAUCUCUGUCACCUAAAAAAUAUCUUUAAUUUCCUUAUCUGCAAAACGAGGAUUCUGGCAGUCAUUUUGAGACAAUCCACAAAAUAAGGUAAAAAUGUUAGCCUUUGUUCUGAAAAGAGAGAAAAACAUGUUUUUCUCUUUUCCUUAUUUUUCCAAAGUGACACAAAGCUCUCUGUGGACCUAUACUAAGACCUCUGUACACAUCCCCACCAGGUCCAGGCUGCCUGAAUCUGCCUGAAGCUGGAUGAACACAAAUACAGACUUGUUUGAGAAGACUGCUUAGACACAACUACCACUAAAUCAGUAACUUAUUGAAUAUCUCCCAUGAGCCAUCAGUGUGGAAGUUAACUAGGAAGGUAGGGAAAAUUAUUAAGCUGGGUUCCGGGCACAGCUCAAAACUUUAAGACAGGCCACCUGGAAUCUCCACAGUAUCUUGAAAGUCCUAAGCCUUUCUAUCUUCCUGUUCUGUUAUCUUGAAUAUGGCUUUGUUUUCUGCUACUGGAAUAGCUCCCAUGCAUCUAAAUCCUGUAACUGCAUUCUAAGCACAAAGACUUGAGCAGAUGAACAGUAAAAGUGAGUGAAUGCUGUCUCUUUUCAUCAAGGAAACAAUACGUUUGCCAAAAGACUGAGUAGUUCAUUUGCCAGAGCUGGGUUAUACAGCUAUCACAGCUUCAAGGGAACCAAGGAGACAAUUGCACUAAGUACAAUGUUGUCUUGGAAAAUAGAGAUUCAAACAGAAAAGACGAAAAGAAUGAAUAGUGGCCACACUGGGUCAACAAACACUUCAGGAGGAUCCUUGGUCUCUGACCCUACACCUGGCUACCUCCACCAGACAAAGCAGGUCUUUGCGUCAAACAUUAAGUAAGAAAUACAAAGAAUUCAUUACUUUGCUUUUUGUGUAGUUAUAGACAAAUUCUUUCCAAAUUAAGAUAAUUAAGUAAAAUGCAAAAUUAGGAAUAUUUGCUACCUGGAUAUAUCUUUUUAAAACCUUGUCGAUGAUGCUUGAGGGUAAAGGUAUUGCUUGUGUAUGUGUGUGUGUGUGUGUGUGUGUGUGUGUGUGUGUGUGUGUGUGUGUGUGUUUUAAAGAAAGCAAAAUGUUAAAGCUACAAUAACAAAUCCCUGAAGGCAAUGCCUCCCUUUACAUCAAAAAUAUUUGUAGUUCUUUCAAAAAGUUGCUUUGGUCUCCUCUCUUGAAACUUUUGAAAUGUGUAGUUUACCCUUUUUUCUAUUACACUGGAGAAUUUUUGAAAUAAAUGAACAAAAUAACAAGUCUCCCUAUGGCACUGUUAUAUAUGCACAUAUCUACCCCUUUUGUUCCCUGCCCCCACCUCAUUGUGGCCCCUCCCUCCCACACAGCCCCCUCUUGCCAGAAAACUUAAAUCACAAAAUUUUACAGAUAAUUAUUCUAUUUUUUCUGAUCUCUGGUUCCCUUUGAUUCCCUACUUCUCUUUUCACUCUUCUCUUUCCUCUACCAAUUUUGGUUUAUAUGUUUUACUCCAUUUAAUGCAUAUUUUUUAUUCAUAUUAGGUGAUUUUUUGAAAAGGAUCAACUUUGUGUAAUAUAUAAAUUUUAAAAACUGUUAAAAUGAGAAGAACAGGAUUUAGGACCAUUUCCGAAAUUAACCCACAAGUUCCUUCAGGGAAAGAGAGAAAUGAAGAUACUUGGAUCAUGUGUCCCAAUAAAGUCAAACUUCUCCAAAAAAUUUCUGGAGAACAUAUGGAGCAAAAAUAUUGCUGUUGUAAUUUUUUAAAAGCCCCAGUUUUUUUAAUCCUGUCCAGCAUGAACGAUUUAUGGACGGACUUGGAGAAUCCAUACAUAGAAUGUGGCCUAGAGCAAAUUUCAUGGCUUCUGUCCCAUAAGGCUUUGGUGCUUCUAUCUU